rnacentral:rRNA from 1 species
UACGUAGGGUGCAAGCGUUGUCCGGAAUUAUUGGGCGUAAAGAGCUCGUAGGCGGUCUGUCGCGUCGGAUGUGAAAAUCCAGGGCUCAACCCUGGACCUGCAUUCGAUACGGGCAGACUAGAGUUCGGUAGGGGAGACUGGAAUUCCUGGUGUAGCGGUGAAAUGCGCAGAUAUCAGGAGGAACACCGGUGGCGAAGGCGGGUCUCUGGGCCGAUACUGACGCUAAGGAGCGAAAGCGUGGGGAGCGAACAGG